rnacentral:rRNA from 1 species
GAUGAACGCUGACAGAAUGCUUAACACAUGCAAGUCAACUUGAAUUUGGGUUUUUAACUUAGAUUUGGGUGGCGGACGGGUGAGUAACGCGUAAAGAACUUGCCUCACAGCUAGGGACAACAUUUAGAAAUGAAUGCUAAUACCUGAUAUUAUGGUUAUAGGGCAUCCUAUAAUUAUGAAAGCUAUAUGCACUGUGAGAGAGCUUUGCGUCCCAUUAGCUAGUUGGAGAGGUAACAGCUCACCAAGGCGAUGAUGGGUAGCCGGCCUGAGAGGGUGAACGGCCACAAGGGGACUGAGACACGGCCCUUACUCCUACGGGAGGCAGCAGUGGGGAAUAUUGGACAAUGGACCGAGAGUCUGAUCCAGCAAUUCUGUGUGCACGAUGAAGUUUUUCGGAAUGUAAAGUGCUUUCAGUUGGGAAGAAAAAAAUGACGGUACCAACAGAAGAAGUGACGGCUAAAUACGUGCCAGCAGCCGCGGUAAUACGUAUGUCACGAGCGUUAUCCGGAUUUAUUGGGCGUAAAGCGCGUCUAGGUGGUUAUGUAAGUCUGAUGUGAAAAUGCAGGGCUCAACUCUGUAUUGCGUUGGAAACUGUAUAACUAGAGUACUGGAGAGGUAAGCGGAACUACAAGUGUAGAGGUGAAAUUCGUAGAUAUUUGUAGGAAUGCCGAUGGGGAAGCCAGCUUACUGGGACAGAUACUGACGCUAAAGCGCGAAAGCGUGGGUAGCAACAAG